CACAUCACAAACAUAUUGAGGUUGAACAAGUUUAUAUCUCGAAAAGGGUGUUAAAAUCUGUGAUGAAGGAUUACACGAUUCGAGAGAAGUUUCAAUCCUGAUCUGUUAGAUCAAGUAAAACCUGGUAAGUUUGUCAUAUAUGUAAAAUCUGUUGUUUAUUUCUUGUUAAAUUUUAUUACAGCAUAUGUAUUUAAAAAAUACAUAUAGAUUAUUUUUUUGUACAUGUUGUAAAUUACAUUACACCAUUUUUUUUGCAGUUACACAUUAAUAUGCAAAUCAUGUAAUUGUGAUUUUUUAUUUCGUUCAUCUGAUAUCAACAAAUCAGGAAUGUUUUGUGUUAGAGAAUUCUUACCCGAACACACAUGUCCGAUAAAGGAUAAGAUUUAUCCUAAGUUUCAUGCUAC
rnacentral:lncRNA from 1 species